GAUUCUAAAUUGGUGAUCUCCUGAGAAGUAGUGUCCUUCCAGCUGAUGAACAGCUCUGCCCCUUCCCUCUCACUCCUUCUACACUUUCAGUGGGGGGAAUGGCUUUGUGUUGUGCAAAAAGAAUUCUUCAGUUCUGGUCACAAACAUUGAUCGAAAAACACAAUGCCUGCUGAAUGGAAAUUGAACGCAUGCAUGUGUGCAUGAAUGAAUCCAGGGAGUUGGGGACUUGUCAUUAGUUAAACCAUUUAUUCCACACACAUAGACUCAGUGUUCUGGAUGACAGGGAAAUCCAGACCCUUGUGCUGUGGGAGGCUGGGGUAGGAUUCUCUGACAUGGGCCCUGGUCCUUGGGCAGGGGCCUCUUGAUUUGGCAAAGUAAUUGAGGCUCUUUGAGAUCUAAAGGGCAUACAUCAUGUGUUCUACCCAUACCUUGCUACCUUUUUGGCUAUGUUUUGGAUAUUGGUUGAAUUUCAUGCUGAAAUUGCUUCCAGCAGGCAUCUGGAGUCAUUGGUGAAACACAGCUUGCACAGAUGAGGCCAGAGCUUCUUCCUGGGAAGGGAUGCGUCAGAAAUGUCUGUCUGGAGCAAGGUGGCCUGACAGCUGGGACCUUUAGGGUGGGAGCAGCCACAGCCAAUAUCUCUUCUUAGGGUACUUUGUGAUAAACCAAGAGGAGAAGAUGGGGCAGAGUAAUCACAGAAGCCUCAAGCCUUGGGUUGGCUAGCUGGCUGGCUUGCUUUCUUCCCUUUACUUCCCUCCCUCCACCCCCUCUCCUUCCUUCCCCUCUCCUUCCCUUCUCUUCCUUCCUGUUUUUUUUUCCUUACAGGGUCUCUGUAUGUAGCCUAAAGCUCAAUGUGAUACUCCUACCUCAGCCUCCAGAAUGCUGAGAUUGUGCUGGUAUUACAGGCAUGCACCACCAUGCCUAGCUCAAGUCCUGGCCUUUAGAACCUUUGUCUAGACAGAAACAGUCAAGAACUCCUUUGGCCAGUCUUUCAUAAGUCUGCAGACAUCAGAAUAGGGCUGCAUCCUGUGCCUGACUCUUCCACCUUUCACCUCAGCAGUGCUCUCAAAGCACAAUGUGAAACAGGCAACAGACCCCCCUAAGGACUGAGGUAAAAAUCCCUCCCAGCCAGAUUUGGUGGCUUAUGCAUGUAAUCUCAGCACGUGGGAGGCUGAGGCAGGAGGAUUGAAAGAGUGAAUCCUGCCUGAGAAACUUAGCCAGAGCCUGUCUCAAAACAAAAACUAAAAAUCCUUCCAACCAGCACCUCCAGGGAUGUAGCUCAGGAGUCAGCAGCUACUUCAGCUCUCCAAGUGGCUCCUUUGCCUGUGAACUUUGAGGAUGAGCCCCAGGAACACCCGGACACAGGGAGCAGCAGCCAUAAAAGAAAAGAUUGAUAAAGCAAACUUCAUUAACAUCAGGAACUCCUGUUCUUCAAAAGCUAUCAUGAAGAGAAUGGAAAGGCAAGCCAUGGACCAGGGAAGUUGCUGUGUAGGAGCCUGGAUCUCAGUUUACCUGCUCAUCAUUACGUGAACACAUGACUCCCCCUAGCCAAUCAUUUGUGAUCCAUCCUUUUGACCAUGUGUGAUGCUGAAUCUCAAUUGUCACCCGGAAUGGAUUAAAAGACACUAGAAGAUUAUGAAAUCAUGCUUCUGGGUGUGCAUUGGUGGUGGUGGUAGGUUGUCCAGAGAUGAUUGGCAUGCAGAUCGACCAACUGAGGGGAACGACCAGCCCUGAUGGUGGGCGACACCAUCCAAUAGGCUUGCAGCCCGGAUGAAAUGAACAGGAAGGAGGAAGUCGGCCUGUGAUUGAAAACUCCUUUCUGCUCCAGUGGGCCUGUCUUUUGUGCUGCUGUUAACUAUGGACAUCAGACUCCGGCUCUUCAGCCUUUUAGUACAGGACUCUCCAGGGAGCUUCCCAGCCUCAGCUUCCAGUUGAUGCUGCAUCCUCAGUCCCUCUCGCUCUGUGACUUCGGCUUCUCCGAGCAGCUACUGGGUUCUCUGGUUCUCUAGCGUGCAGAUGGCCAUUGUGGAUGCUCCUGCCACUGCUCCUUUCA